rnacentral:rRNA from 1 species
UUUUAUGGAGAGUUUGAUCCUGGCUCAGGAUGAACGCUGGCGGCGUGCCUAAUACAUGCAAGUCGAGCGAACGGACGAGAAGCUUGCUUCUCUGAUGUUAGCGGCGGACGGGUGAGUAACACGUGGAUAACCUACCUAUAAGACUGGGAUAACUUCGGGAAACCGGAGCUAAUACCGGAUAAUAUUUUGAACCGCAUGGUUCAAAAGUAAAAGACGGUCUUGCUGUCACUUAUAGAUGGAUCCGCGCUGCAUUAGCUAGUUGGUAAGGUAACGGCUUACCAAGGCAACGAUGCAUAGCCGACCUGAGAGGGUGAUCGGCCACACUGGAACUGAG